GCGCUCACUUGGCAGCACAUACACUAAAAUUGGAACAGAACAGAGAGGAUUAGUGUGGCUCCUGCUCAAGGAGGACAUGCAAAUUAGCGAAGCUUCCAUAUUUUAA
ensembl:snRNA LOC120096097 U6 spliceosomal RNA